rnacentral:misc_RNA from 1 species
GAAAAAAAAAAAAAAAACAGAAAGAAAAACCUCGUGAAACCGAAACCCAGAAAACGAUCGCCACAUCAAUCAUCAAGUGCCACAUCAACACUACCACCUCAUCAUCAUGUCAUUGCCACGUCAGCUAUCAAGUGCCACAUCACCAAAAGUGCUUGCCAUCUCAUCACCACAUCAACCAUCACUGCCACGUCAACAAAAAAUUGAAAGUGUGCUACCUGACUAUUUUCGACAUUCUUAGUCUGAUUUUGGCAUCCGUUUUUGCAAAAAAGAAUCUGAGAGGCUAAUUUUGUAUUCUCAAUAAGGUAUGCUUCUUUACUUGAAACUUGAUUAUUAUUCAUAAAUUGGAUAGUUUUGUAAGGUGUUUUAGAUCCAAGAUUUUGCUUCAUAAACUCACCUUACCAAUGUAACAUUAGCCCUAAACUGUUCCAUUCCUUUUAUUUUAUCUCUCUACUUAUAAGCCAUGCAUACAUCCAAUACAAUCACCCAUAACUUUGACAUAAUCAUUAAAAUUGAGUUUAAUAUUCUUAAUAAUGUGUGUUUGCAUUAAGUUUGUUAUUUACAUUAAUUUUAGUAAUUUUAGUCUGCUUAGCAUCCAUUAUGACUAAAGAUAAGCACCAUGCCUCUACUUCACACACCCAUCCUUUAAUUCCACAUUACAUGAUCAACCUAAAUUUGUUGAAUUAAAAAAAAAAAUACAAGUGGAACAAAUUGCUGAACAUCUGAAAUCUAUGGGCAAACAAACUGUAAUAGAAGAAGAGUCUGUUAAGCAACACCUAAGGUCACCUCAUUCUGUUGAGUCUGCACCUACUGCAACUUAUACACCAGCCACACAAAAUGCAUCUCAUAGGGGUAGUAAUAUAGCAACAAAACAAGUAAGAUUUAAUCAUGUUGGUAAUAUGCCUUUGCAAAAAAUGACACAUAUUGGUUAUGAUAAGCAUGCUCUUGAUGCACCACCAAACAUUCAUUUUAGACAAAAUCCUCAUUUUGAGUAUUAUGAUCCUCAUGGUAGGGCCUUUGAUAGGAACUAUAAGCAACCUAAUCCUCAUGGUAGACUCUUUGAUGGAAACCAUAGGCAACCUCCUAGAUAUGCUAAUAAUGAACAUGUUGAUAUCACUAGGAAGGUCAAACUAACUGCUCUUGAAUAUAAUGAAAAAUUGGAUCGUAAAGUUUUCAUUGAUUGUUUAGAUGGGAUAGAGGAGUAUUGUGAUUUUUAUCACAUAUCUGAUUUGGAGCGUGUUCAUUUUGCCAAAAUAAAAUUGACUAGAACUGCUAGAAAAUAUUGACAAAGUGUUCGAUGCAAUAUGGAACCCUUGAAUAAGCCUCCUAUUACUCAAUGGGCUAUCAUGAAGAGUAAGUUGAAGAGGAAAUAUGUACCUAGCUAUUAUGAGGACAAUAUAGCACAUGAGAUGAUGAAUCUUAAGCAAUCAACUUCUAAUGAAACUAAAUACAUGAAAAAAUUUGAGA